UUGCGGGUGAGAAGGGCAGUUGAUUACAUAUAUAGAACAAGUGAUCACAAGCUUGACAGUAAUGAGGCCUAAAGUGUACAUGCAGUAUCAUACACAAAUGGAAAUCUAAAGGCUAUACAUAUCUUGCUUAGAGCAACGCCAAAAAGGCAAAGAUACUGGAUCGCUUGAUACGAAACAAAAGAUGGCUCUGUUGGUUACCAUACUAUCUUGUGUAGUCUUCAAGCGCUGCUCUGACUUCAUGCCAAUAUAGUGUAGCCUCUCCGUCACUUCUUCAAUGCUUGGAUUAGCUACUACUUUAGUUCUUUCGAUAAAACAUUUUUUACACCAGUAGCAGCACCCCUAAGAUUAGCAAGCUUCCAGCAAAAGGAUCACAUGAGAAUCACAUAUCUGUAUCCUAUAUGAAGAGAAACAGAAACACAACAAGAUGACAUAAAUAAAUAGAGGUAUCAAAACUGUAAUUGCUAUAAGAACAGAAGCUUGAUUGCAUAGGGUUUCUUAUUACUGUUUUGUUUUAUGAUUCCAGUUUCCAUGGUGUUAGUAAGUGCAUAGCAGCAACGCCGGCUAGUUAAGAUCCCUAUGACAGAGUCAAGCUAAUCAUUGGGAACCAUGCAAGAGAAAAAAAGAAUAAAGAGGACGGUAAAUCCAAUAGAAAUACUAAGAGUAGUUGAAACACAAGAAUUUAUGGUAAGUUGGUGUGACCACCCGGUCAUCAUCUUUCACUUGCCAAACAAGGACACAUGCGUGUGGAAGACCCCUCUUUUUGAACUCUGGUGUAGAGAACUGGAAAACAGGAGGGUAAAUGAAAAACAUGAAAAAUAAGAAACGUGGGUAAGAAAAACAAAAAAAGGAGAGAAAAUGCACUGGGCAUGGUACCCGGAACUACAGUCCCAAACAUAUUUCUGGUCUUGAUCUUCUGUAGGUACUCAAGCAGUUUCAUGUGAUAUACUCGAACAGUAAUAUCAGCCCUAUUGACUAUUUUUUGCCCGCGUUCAAGACUCCCAUUAUUUCAGGCCACUUUGGAUUACACGUGAAGGUUGUGAUUAUAUCAGGCGAGGCUUGGACAUGGGAAAUAGUCAUCGCGGCGUGGAAGUUUUCAGUUAUACAGCGACGCCCACCGGUAUAGGAUAACGGCAUAAUAUUUUUCUUAUGGACCUCGGCUUCAUCAAGCUUACCAAGUCCAACAGCGUCAACAACAAGCUGGAGCUUUUUAGCGCUCAUAUCGUCCGGAAGCUUUUCAGAAAGGACCUUGAUUGAGUAGUGAGAAGAUCAGAAGGUAGUAAAUCACCACAGUCCGCGUAGCAGCAACCAAAUAACAAGAUGAAGAUGAUAGGGCAGCAAGGAACCUGUGGUAAAUGGAGGCACAUGAAUAUUGUACAUGCAGAAAUAGCUGAAAUGAAACAGGUUUUGCUAUCUCAGGCACAACAGAUACUGUAGUUGCUCAACAUAAUCUAAUAAGCAAGAACAGAGUGGGAUAUAAACUUAUUAUGUUUUCUUUUUGCUUAGGCAAGAACAGACGUGAAUAUGACUAAAAACUGUUGUUUUUUCUAUGUAUGCGGAGGCAAAACCAAAGCAAGGUAAAUAAUAAGCUUUUGAAACUAUAUUUUUGGCUGCUGAUAAGUGAAACCUGUGUAUUUCUUUGUACCAAGCACACAAGUAAGACCAGAAAGAAAAUAAAGGAAGAGGAUCUUAGCAGGCCUUUUACAAAAACAAAUCGACCUUCUCUGUGUUGAACAUUAAAUUCAGCUGGCAAUUCUUGGCUUUGAUUUCCAGGUGAGUCCCUAUCGAUAUGCAAAGAAGGCGAGAAAGAACCUAGAAUAUUAACUGCAGCAGGGAAUUAACAGGAAGAAACAUGAUGUUUGCCUUCAGAGGUAAACCGAUGAAGGAGAAGGGCUUUUAGGUUAGCUAGCCCAGCAGUAAAUAGAAGAUAUACGGAGGCGCACACAGUGUAACAGCAACGACAAGACAUAGUUUAAACAGCAUGGCUGAGCGGCAUUUAUAGUGAGUAGAGAUUGUCAUAAGGAAGGAGAUAAGGCAGAAAGGGCCAAAGGCAAUAUUUACAAUGAUGGUUUGUUCGACAGGAUAGAAGGCGUCCUGAUUACGAACCGCAUCAGCUGAAUUCCCUAUAGUAUCACGGCUCAAGUACUCUCUCUCACUGGUAGGCACUAAAGAUAGAACACACUCGUUUAUUUUUUCAGCUACUUCGUUUGUUGGUGUUAGAAUUGCUCUUUCUUUUAGAUAAUCAACGUCAGAAUACCUAGUAGGAACAUUUUUGUAUACAGCCUGAAGACAGGAAAUUAAUGAACAACAACAAAAUUCAGACAAACAAGCAGAAGCAUUAAAGCAGUGCACAGGAGCAUUAAAGCAUAUAUUAUGUUCAACAUUGUGGAAAUUGUGCAUAAGGCCUAAAGACUGAAUCAAAUCAGCAUUAUUGGUCAACUCCUACUAUUGGUAUAUUUUAAAUUUUUCCGGUACAUCUGGUCUCAGUAUAUACUAAAAGAACUGGUUCAAAUAACUCCAUAUGAGCAUUCUAGAUCAUCAAACCUUUUGAAAUUUCUUUCUUGUCACAUCUUUAAUGACCAAGAUCGAAGAAAAAUAGACUGCACACAAACCAUAGCAACAGCCAAAACUUAGUUUGGAUCAGACAAAUUAUAUUGAAUGUUACGUGAGUUAGACUGACGAAUAGAGAUAUGCUGAGAAAAUGUUGAACCAAACCACGGACAUCAAGACCAUUUUUCUGAAUAAAAAAGGGCAGCUAUAAUUGUCUGUGUUAAACAGAAACAAUAAUAGCUCAAAUAAGCCGAGAAAUAACAUAAAACUCUUGGGGUAGCUCGUCCAAAUGAAACUAAAUUUCAACCAUCGUUAUUCAAUUUCAAAGAAAACAGUGCAUAUUCAGUUACAAGUGGACUCGGCAUGCAUUGACUGAAAAAUAUAGAGUGAGCAAACAGCUGCUCUGCAGAUCCUAGGAUUUCAAGGAGCCGGUGGAUUGCCGAACCGGUCCUUAGUUGUAAUAGAAUCAAAGCGAGACCAAAUUAAACCAUUGCCUCCAUAUAGUAAGUAGUACAGGAUGGGGAAAUCAGACAUUAUCCAUAGCAUCUAGAUUCACCAAUAGCUCAACCGACAAAGGAUUUGCACAAAAACAUAAUCGAAGUGAAACCAAAUGGAAAGACAUUUUAUUGAAAGCAGUAACACACACGGAAUAUCCGAUUUCAGAGUAACAAACACUACUAUAAACACCCAGGCACUGGCAUGUUAUCCUUUUAACAUAGCUAGACCAUACAGCUUCAAGCACGAAGAACUUAAGGCUAGAAUGUAGCAGAAAAUAUGAUUCAAGCACCUAAGAAUAGCUUCAUAAUCCACUGAGCCACAACCCACGACAGUAAGACAAAGAACUAAGGUAGGAACUAACCCCAAUAGGCACAAGUCUGCAUCAUAUUUUGACCUGGUGUAGCAAUCCCUACAAUUAAUUAGGCAUGUGAUUCACCAACUAAUCCUUAAGCCAAUGAACCACACAGGGACUAACCAUAAUGGCCACAAAUCUAUGUCAUGCUUUAACCUAAUGUAAUCCAACAAUUCCUGAAGGGAAAGACCUAAAACUGUACUAGCGCAAACCAACAGUCAGAUCGGCGAAAUAUCUUAAACUAAUAGAAUCCAACAAUAGACAGUUAAGAAAGGCAACAAAAAACUGUCACGAAUCUCAGCAUGCGACCGAGCCUCCCGCAAAGCAACAAGAAACCCGGGGAUCCAAGCAGAUCCCCUAAUCCAUCCAAAGAAAUCCAAACAUAUCCAGGCUUGUGCAUCCAAUUUUUUUACUCGGAUUCAAACAGAUAACGCAGCUAAAAAAAUACAAUUACUUCACAAACAUGGCAUUGCAGAUAACUAAUUAUACCUUAAUUCAUCCAAAUAUAUAAUCUACAGGGAAAUUCAUCCAAAAAUAUAAUCUACAGGUAAAUUCAUCCAAAAAUAUAAUCUACAGGGAUUUUUUUUCACAAUUACUUCACGAACAUGGCUAGAAGAUGAAUGUUUACCUUAGAAGUACCUGAAUAAAUUACGAACCUUACUGCUAGAUGUUGGAAGUGCCAAUGGCAUACUCCUGCAAGAACGGAUCACAUCAGCUAAACAUACAUGGGUAUACCUACUGGAAAGGAGAGGGAGGAAGGGACAGGUGACGGAGAGGAACCUGGAGGUGCAGGGGCACAAAUCCUGCCUGGCCCUUCUCCUCCAUCAAGGUCGCUGAUGGACCGGUCAACGCCCCACAGGCUGCUGCUGCCCUUCCAGCUGCCGCCACUUGCCCAUAU
rnacentral:lncRNA from 1 species